rnacentral:rRNA from 1 species
CACCAGCGCCACGAGUGGGGACCAGUAUUAUUGGGCCUAAAGCAUCCGUAGCCGGGUUAGUAAAUCCUUUGUGAAAUUGUCUGGCUCAACCAGACAGCGUGCAGAGGAGACUGCUGACCUUGAGACCGGGAGGAGUUAGAAGUAUGCAUCGGGUAGCGGUAAAAUGCUAUAAUCCCUUGCAGACUACCUGUGGCGAAGGCGUCUAACUAGAACGGGUCUGACGGUGAGGGAUGAAAGCUGGGGGAGCGAUCCG